UACAGAGGUCUCAAGCGUUGUUCGGAUUCAUUGGGCGUAAAGGGUGCGUAGGCGGCGGGGCAAGUCGGAUGUGAAAUCUCAGGGCUCAACCCUGAAACUGCAUUCGAUACUGCCUUGCUCGAGGACUGGAGAGGAGAUUGGAAUUCACGGUGUAGCAGUGAAAUGCGUAGAUAUCGUGAGGAAGACCAGUGGCGGAAGGCGGAUCUCUGGACAGUUCCUGACGCUGAGGCACGAAGGCCAGGGGAGCAAACGGGG
rnacentral:rRNA from 1 species